rnacentral:rRNA from 1 species
CCGCGUACCUUUUGCAUCAUGAGCCAACGAGUUACGGUGUGCGGCAAGGUUAAGUCGAGAGACGAAGCCGAAGCGAAAGCGAGUCUGAAUAGGGCGCAAAGUCGUACGCUGUAGACCCGAAACCCUGCGAUCUAUCCAUGGGCAGGCUGAAGCGCGGGUAAGACUGCGUGGAGGGCCGAACUCACCACAGUUGAAAAUGUGGGAGAUGACCUGUGGAUAGGAGUGAAAGGCUAAUCAAGCUGGGAGAUAGCUGGUUCUCGCCGAAACAUAUUGAGGUAUGGGCUCGGUUCAUUUUGCACGGGGGGUAGAGCACUGUCAUGGCUAGGGGGUCAUCGCGACUUACCAAAACCAUAGCAAACUCCGAAUACCGAGAAGUGCGAGCGUGGGAGACAGACAUCGGGUGCUAACGUCCGGUGUCAAGAGGGAAACAACCCAGACCGCCAGCUAAGGUCCCAAAUGACGUGCUAAGUGGUAAACGAAGUGGGAAGGCAUAGACAGCCAGGAUGUUGGCUUAGAAG